UCGGGAAUUUUGGGCAAUGGGCGAAAGCCUGACCCAGCAACGCCGCGUGAAGGAUGAAGUAUUUCGGUAUGUAAACUUCGAAAGAAUAGGAAGAAUAAAUGACGGUACUAUUUAUAAGGUCCGGCUAACUACGUGCCAGCAGCCGCGGUAAUACGUAGGGACCAAGCGUUGUUCGGAUUUACUGGGCGUAAAGGGCGCGUAGGCGGCAAUUCAAGUCAUCUGUGAAAUCUCCGGGCUUAACUCGGAACGGUCAGAUGAUACUGCUUUGCUAGAGUGCAGAAGGGGCAAUCGGAAUUCUUGGUGUAGAGGUGAAAUUCGUAGAUAUUCGGAAGAACACCAGUGGCGAAGGCGGCUCACUGGACGUGUAUUGACGCUGAGGUACGAAAGCGUGGGGAGCAAACAGGAUUAGAUACCCAGGUAGUCCCUGAGCGGGCUGGCAAGGCGCAU
rnacentral:rRNA from 1 species